rnacentral:tRNA from 1 species
UUUGAAGUGGCAGAGAAGUGCGCUAGAUUUAAGCUCUAGAUAUAAAAGUUAGCUUUUCUUCGUUG